UACGUAGGGGGCAAGCGUUGUCCGGAUUUAUUGGGCGUAAAGAGCGUGUAGGCGGCUUUGCAAGUCCGUUGUGAAAACUCGAGGCUCAACCUCGAGACGCCGGUGGAAACUGCAAAGCUAGAGUCCGGAAGAGGAGAGUGGAAUUCCUGGUGUAGCGGUGAAAUGCGCAGAUAUCAGGAAGAACACCCGUGGCGAAGGCGGCUCUCUGGGACGGUACUGACGCUGAGACGCGAGAGCGUGGGGAGCGAACAGG
rnacentral:rRNA from 1 species